GAAAAUGGAAGGAGCAAACCGUGAGAGAGAAGGGAGGAGGAAGAAGAAGAAAAGAAAAGAGGGGAAGAGAAGUAGAGGAAAUAAGUUUAAAAGGUUCUCCUAACGAUCCUCAAUAUGAUUUUCGGGUCUUUCGUCUGACAUUCCUUUUAGUUCUAUAUUUCUGGGUUCUUAGUUUCUGAUAGCAGGUGAACCUUGUUGAGUGUUCCUGCUUCUUCAGUUUUGGGUCGGUAUGCCUUGCUUAUCUUUCAAGGUUGUUUGAUUCGAUGUCUUAGGCACUCCACUAUUACCUUGUUUUAAUUAAGUUUGGAUUUUUGACAAUGUAAUGACUAUUAUGGAUUAUUGUUUUUGUUUUAAUUACUGAUGAGGAGUUUUAAACUAUCUUUUGGUUUCAUCAGUUUUGGAUAAUAUAAUAUUUCUGAAGAUUAUGAAAUGCUGC